rnacentral:rRNA from 1 species
UGAGUAACACGUAUCCAACCUGCCGUCUACUCUUGGACAGCCUUCUGAAAGGAAGAUUAAUACAAGAUGGCAUCAUGAGUUCACAUGCUCACAUGAUUAAAGGUAUUCCGGUAGACGAUGGGGAUGCGUUCCAUUAGAUAGUAGGCGGGGUAACGGCCCACCUAGUCUUCGAUGGAUAGGGGUUCUGAGAGGAAGGUCCCCCACAUUGGAACUGAGACACGGUCCAA